rnacentral:rRNA from 1 species
GAUGAACGCUGGCGGCGUGCCUAAUACAUGCAAGUCGAGCGAACAGACGAGGAGCUUGCUCCUCUGACGUUAGCGGCGGACGGGUGAGUAACACGUGGAUAACCUACCUAUAAGACUGGGAUAACUUCGGGAAACCGGAGCUAAUACCGGAUAAUAUAUUGAACCGCAUGGUUCAAUAGUGAAAGACGGUUUUGCUGUCACUUAUAGAUGGAUCCGCGCCGCAUUAGCUAGUUGGUAAGGUAACGGCUUACCAAGGCAACGAUGCGUAGCCGACCUGAGAGGGUGAUCGGCCACACUGGAACUGAGACACGGUCCAGACUCCUACGGGAGGCAGCAGUAGGGAAUCUUCCGCAAUGGGCGAAAGCUUGACGGAGCAACGCCGCGUGAGUGAUGAAGGUCUUCGGAUCGUAAAACUCUGUUAUUAGGGAAGAAAAAAUGUGUAAGUAAAUAUGCACGUCUUGACGGUACCUAAUCAGAAAGCCACGGCUAACUACGUG